CACCAGGUUGAUUCUGCCUGACGUAGACGCUAUACUCUAAGAUUAACCCAUGCAUGUUAUUGAAUAUAAAGAAAAGACGAACAGCUCAGUAACUCUUAUUUUAUUUGAUGUAUUAGGAUUAUAACUAUGUUAAAUUAUAGAUAACAAUAAUACAAUAAGAAUAAGAUCUAUCAGUUAGUUGUUAAGGUAAUGGCUUAACAAGACUAUGACGGAUAACGGUAUUACUUUGUAAUAUUCCGGAGAAGGAGCCUGAGAGAUUGCUACUAAGUCUAAGGAUUGCAGCAGGGGCGAAACUUGACCUAUGAUAUGAUAUUGAGGCAGUUAUGAGUAGUAUUUUUUAAUUAUUGUAGUAUUGUAAGUAUAUACUACAAGAUAAAUCGGAGGGCAAAUCGAGUGCCAGCAGCCGCGG
rnacentral:rRNA from 1 species